GACGAACGCUGGCGGCGUGCUUAACACAUGCAAGUCGAACGGAAAGGCCCUGCUUUUGUGGGGUGCUCGAGUGGCGAACGGGUGAGUAACACGUUAGUAACCUGCCCUUUACUUUGGGAUAACUUCAGGAAACUGGGGCUAAUACCGGAUAGGAGCUCCUGCUGCAUGGUUGGGGUUGGAAAGUUUCGGCGGUUGGGGAUGGACUCGCGGCUUAUCAGCUUGUUGGUGGGUUAGUGGCUUACCAAGGCUUUGACGGGUAGCCGGCCUGAGAGGGUGACCGGCCACAUGGGGACUGAGAUACGGCCCAGACUGCUACGGGAGGCAGCAGUGGGGAAUAUUGCAGAAUGGGCGGAAGCCUGAUGCAGCAACGCCGCGUGCGGGAUGACGGCCUUCGGGGUGUAAACCGCUUUCGCCGGUGACGAAGCGUGAGUGACGGUAAUGGGUAAAGAAGCACCGGCUAACUACGUG
rnacentral:rRNA from 1 species